UCAAAAACAUCGCUUCUUGCAAAACUAACGAAUAAGAGGUCCUGCCUGCCCUGUGACCAUGAGUUCAACGGCCGCGGUAUUUUGACCGUGCAAAGGUAGCGCAAUCACUUGUCUUUUAAAUGAAGACCCGUAUGAAUGGCAAGACGAGAGAUAAGCUGUCUCUCGCCUGUUUUAUCAAAAACAUAGUAAAAUAAAAUUUUAUAUAUCUGCCCAAUGAUAAUAUUAUAUGGCCCCCAAUGUAGCGUAAUAACUAGUUUAUUGAUUGUAAACUUGAAUGAAGACAACAUUUUUAUAAUAUGUUUCAACUUUUUCUUUGAAUUUUGAUUGUUAGUGAAAAUACUGAUAUGCCCUCAAUAGACGAUAAGACCCUAAGACCUUAACUAAGUUUUACUGGGAUAGUUUUUUAAAAAUAAUAAAAGUUUUUUAGUUAUAAAACCAAAUUAUUGCUAAAGAAAGGUACCUUAGGGAUAACAGCACAAAGAAAAUCUUAAGCCCAAAUUUUAAUUUUUCUAGUGACCUCGAUGUUGAAUUAAGUAAUUCAAAAGCUGCAAAAGGUUUUGUUUCGGGUCUGUUCGACCCAUAGUACUUACAUGAUCUGAGUUCAAACCGGAUCAACGAUCUUGAGUUACCCUAGGGAUAACAGCGCAAUCCUCUUUUAGAGCCCAUAUCGACAAGAGGGUUUACGACCUCGAUGUUGGAUCAGGACAUCCUAAUGGUGCAGCCGCUAUUAAGGGUUCGUUUGUUCAACGAUUAAAGUCCUACAUGAUCUGAGUU
rnacentral:rRNA from 1 species